UACGUAGGGUGCGAGCGUUAAUCGGAAUUACUGGGCGUAAAGCGUGCGCAGGCGGUUCGUUAAGUUCGUUGUGAAAGCCCCGGGCUCAACCUGGGAACUGCAAUGGAAACUGGCGGGCUUGAAUGCGGCAGAGGGGGGUGGAAUUCCGCGUGUAGCAGUGAAAUGCGUAGAGAUGCGGAGGAACACCGAUGGCGAAGGCAGUUCUCUGGGCCGUAACUGGCGCUGAGGAGCGAAAGCGUGGGGAGCGAACAGG
rnacentral:rRNA from 1 species